UACAGAGGUCCCAAGCGUUGUUCGGAUUCACUGGGCGUAAAGGGUGCGUAGGUGGUGGGGUAAGUCGGAUGUGAAAUCUCCAAGCUCAACUUGGAAACUGCAUUGGAAACUACCUUGCUAGAGGAUUUGAGGGGGGGAUUGGAAUACUUGGUGUAGCAGUGAAAUGCGUAGAUAUCAAGUGGAACACCAGUGGCGAAGGCGAAUCCCUGGAAAAUACCUGACACUGAGGCACGAAAGCUAGGGGAGCAAACAGG
rnacentral:rRNA from 1 species